CGGCCCGGCGCUGGCGCAGCCCCUGCCCCGGCUCACCCUCUUCCUCCUCCCUCCUCCUCCUCGCAGGCCGGGCACCGUCGCCCUCCGUGAGAUCCGUCGCUACCAGAAGUCCACGGAGCUGCUGAUCCGCAAGCUGCCCUUCCAACGGCUGGUCAGGGAAAUCGCCCAAGACUUCAAAACAGACUUGAGGUUCCAGAGUGCAGCCAUCGGUGCGCUGCAGGAGGCCAGUGAAGCGUAUCUGGUGGGUCUGUUUGAAGAUACAAACCUGUGCGCCAUCCAUGCCAAGAGAGUCACUAUCAUGCCCAAAGACAUCCAGUUGGCUCGCAGGAUACGGGGGGAGAGGGCUUAAGUGAAGGCUGUUUUUAUGGUGUUUUGUAGUAAAUUCUGUAAAAUACUUUGGUUUUAAUUUGUGACUUUUUUGUAAGAAAUUGUUUAUAAUAUGUUGCAUUUGUACUUAAGUCAUUCCAUCUUUCACUCAGGAUGAAUGCUAAAAGUGACUGUUCACAUAAACCUCAGUGAUGUGAGCCUUGUUGCUCAGGAGUGACAAGUUGCUAAUAUGCAGAAGGGAUGGGUGAUCUUUCUUGCUUCUCAUGCAUGUUUCUGUAUGUUAAUGACUUGUUGGGUAGCUAAACUUGUAAGGUACUAGAAUUGAUAUAAAUGUGUACAGGGUCCUUUUGCAAUAAAACUGGUUAUGACUUGAUCCAAGUGUUUAACAAUUGGGGCUGUUAGUCUGACCAUACAUCACUGUGAUCAAAUGUGGACUUUUUCAGAGGGUGAAACUACAAGUCUUAACCACAGUGUAACUUACAGUUUCCUAAAAACGUAAACCUGGCAGCUAUAGAAUACACUAUGUGCAUUUAUAAUAGCUAUUUUAUAUAUUGUAGUGUCAACAUUUUUAAAUUAAAUGUUUUACAUUCACA